UACUGAGUAGGAUAGAUGCCUGCAGUGC
rnacentral:sRNA from 1 species